GACGAACGCUGGCGGCGUGCUUAACACAUGCAAGUCGAACGGAAAGGCCCUGCUUUUGUGGGGUGCUCGAGUGGCGAACGGGUGAGUAACACGUGAGUAACCUGCCCUUGACUUUGGGAUAACUUCAGGAAACUGGGGCUAAUACCGUAUAGGAGCUCCUGCUGCAUUGUGGGGGGUGGAAAGUUUCGGCUGGUGGGGAUGGACUCGCGGCUUAUCGGCUUGCUGGUGGGGUAGUUGAAUACCAAGCCAUUGACGGGUAGCCGGCCUGAGAGGGUGACCGGCCACAUGGGGACUGAGGUACGGCGCAGACGCGAACAGGAGGCAGCAGUGGGGAGUAUGGCACAAUGGGCGCAAGCCUGAUGCAGAAACGCUGGGGUCGUGAUGCCGGUCUUUGGAGUGUAAAAAGCAGCAGGUUGAGACGAAGCGGGAGUGACGGUAACGGGUAAAGAAGCACCGGCUAACUACGUG
rnacentral:rRNA from 1 species